UUUAAAGUAAGAAGGAAGCUUUUCUUCCCUUCAAUGAUGAAUCCUUGGAUGCCUCAGAUUCAUGGAUCAGAUAGUUGGGAGGCGCCUCAAGAGACCCAGUCCUCAAAAAGUGACCCUGAUACAAUGGCCCAGAUGAUAAACUUCUCUGUUUCCAGGAAGAAGUCUGCUUUUGCAAGUCUGGAGUUAAGGCCUUACUUUUGUGCCUUGGGUGGCUCCUUCCGUCCACAGCCUCUUGCUCUUCUGUUGGAAGGAGUAAGGACUCUAAGGGCAUAUCAGAGUGUUGCCAUGGUGACUGCAGCCUAAGGCCUUUGGAGGUUCGUGGUACCCAGAUACCUUUAGCCUUUACACAGAAGAUGUUUUGCAGGAAGUACCAGAUUUGUAAAGAUAUUCAAAGUCUAAUUGAUGGUCUCUAGAAAACAGCAAGAAAUUGGAGGCAGGAUGCUGUAAUUAAAAAACAUUGAGCUGAUAGAGUCAUCAGGAAACUGGCAAGUUGAUCCCUCUAUCUCCAGCUUAGAUGGAAACAUGUCUACUCUGUGUUUAAAGCUUCUCUGGGGAGAAAGUUUAAUCUUUUUUCUUUCACUUGUUAUAGCAACUGAUUAUUUUUGCUAGAACCAAUCCCAGAAGAUGUGAGGAUACUCUUACCUCUUAGUAGUCCUCUUAUGCUUCCUGGAAAGUGGUCUUCCUUCCCCCACCUUCACACUCCCAAGCCCUGAACUGGGUCCCUGUCAUCUCCCAGGACCCAGACGUCAUUUACUGGCAGAGAGAGGUAGAGAAGGAAGCAGAUUAGACUGCUAUUCCUAGCCCUGCUAAUAGAUACAACCUUGGGAAAGUUCUUUCACCUUUUCCUCAUGUCAGAAAUCAGUAGACAGGAUGACCUCUAAAACACUUCCUACUCCAAAAAUCUAAUCCUCUAUUUUGCCUGAGGGCUAAACUUCUAAGACUUAUUUCUUCCUAAGGGCAUUUUAAUUUUCAUACAAAAUAUAAUGGCAAAAAGAUCUCUUUUAUAUGCAAGAGAACAGACUUACAUGGUGAAAUUACAAACAUUGGAGGUGAUUUUUGGGGGCAGGACAACAUGUAGGCGAUGUAUUCCAACCACUCGUAAGGUAGCUCUGCCCAUCAUGACCACUAUUUUCGUAUUUGUGAAAAGAAGCCAGGAACCGGAUCUGAACUAUUCCUGAUAUCCAGUAUUUGAAGCAAUCUUCAUUUCUGUUUUUGGCUAUGGAUGCACGAGUAUGCAUUAUAUUAUCAGCAGCAGGUAUUAAAUGUAUUAUUUAGUGUUAGAGGUAUUAGUCUCGAACAUUAGGGCAGAUUAGCAUUUGAUAUAUUAGUUCUUUGGGGUUACAAUUGAUGCUUGAAUUUCCGAUUGUUAUAUCUAGUAACUGAAUUGUGAUUUGGCUCUUAAUUCCACGAUGAGUUCACCAACAUUGACAAACCUAGUACUAAUUAAUUAAUGACAAUUCUUGAUUUGCAACCAUGUCUGAGAAAAGAUAACACAUCUUCUGAUUAUUAUAGACUCUUAAGGCAAUCAUUUGGGGACAGCCUUUCCUUAUGGCAUUUCUCAGCCUAGCUUUCUGAGAAACUCAUGCUGAAUUCAUGGUUUCAAGCUUUUAAAAGCCUCUUAAGAAAUCCUGCCCAUCCUUUACCACCCCCCCCUCGACUUCCUCCACCUGCCUUGUGGAAGCCAAGUCUUUGGUCUGCUGCUUUGAUCCAAGCUCUUCUACACCAGAUACCCCAUCACUGCCUUGGAACGGAGGAGUCAGACAUCUGUCACAGAUAUCAGGUAAGUAGGUCAAAUAUAAACAUGUCUACUACUGUAAUUAAUUAUUAAUGUCUUUUAGACCCUCUAUCAAUAUGGUGCUUGCUUCUGGGCUCAGAAGGGCACUCCUAAAUAUUUACCAAUGUGUAAUAGUACUUUUAGAUGGAGUUGAUACACUCAGCUUCAUGGUUUAAACCUUCCAGCAGGCAAGCAGUGGAAAUCUUUGUAACUAGAUGAAUAUAUUUCUAAAACCAUAUCAUAGUAUAGCAUCUUCCCAGAGCCUUCCUAAGACAAGGAGUCUGAGGUAAGGAGAUGCAGCAUCCUUCCUAAUAACUCUAUAGGUGGGCUUUUCCCCCCCGUCCGCUCUCUGAUUCAGAGACUGACAGCUGAGGUUUCCCACCCCUCAGCUGUGGGGCUGGCUUAGGUGGGAUGUGCACCCUCAUGUACUGACUCAGUUCCCACUGGGACAAUUACCUUCAUGCUACAGAGCAUGCAACUGCUGAUUCUGUGCACAACGCUUUCUCAAUUGCUCUCCUCCCCACUCUGAAUAUUGCCGUGCACGGUGUGCCUUUAAUUUGUGGGUGAAAGCCUCUGCCCACCCACUCCUACAGCAUAUAGAUAUGCACACUCUGAAUGCUACAAUCGGACUCUCCUAUCUGCCUUACACCUCUCAAACCCCAUCCUGGGAAGGUAUCAAAGCCUUCCUACCAGUUGCAACCCCUUUCCCAACAAAUGCACACUCCUUUGGCACAUCAACACCCCCACUGAUGAAAAUGACAUCUGUUGGUUCCAUCUUCCACAGACGAGAAGCUUGACAUAAACUCCCCAAAGUAAGCAGCGGCUGAACCAGAAAUAGGCAGCCAAUACCUGUGUUCAUCCCUAAAUCAUUCCAUCACUCUGUAUUUCUACAUUAGAAGACUUCAGGGGAGUUGUGAAGAAAGAAAUGCCCUAGGCUGCUUAUCUACCAAGGAUUUCAGGUCCUCCUGGGUUGAUGGUACAGUAAUAGACUGCUGAAUUCCUCUCUUUGCAAAAAUAAACGAAGAUGGCUCUGGGCAGAGAGACACGACCAUCCUUUCUGUCUCCCAGUUCAUUUUGUACCAACCAAGAUGUACCACAGAACAGAUGCUGUUGGGAGAGGAGCUCUGGCUGGACCACAAGGGGAACGUGGAGCCAGCCAGGCCCUGACACUGGGGAGGCCAAGGAAGCAAGGGGGCCGAGGGAGAGGGAGGGCAGCAGGGCUGCCUGGCUGCCCUGAGUGGUCCUCCGUGGGUGUCGCUUCCUGUUUCCCCAAGGGAGCUGGCCUGAGGAACGGUCUGUGUCUGGAGGGCUCAGAGGAGGCAGCGAACAAAAAGUAAGAACCACUGUGGGGAAUCAUGAAACAACGCCAUUUAAGAAAUCUGGCUAAAAAGAAUACAAAAGUGACUCCACAGAGGGGGAGGCGGUGCUGCCACCUCUCCCAUUGUUGUUCCCUCUUGCUUUCUUGAAUGCUAAGAAUCACUUUUAAGAAUUUGUGUGUUGCACAGUUGGGCUGGUUCCUUUUCUGAAGCUCUCCCUGGCUCCCUCUCCUUCAACUGCAUUCAUGAGAAAGCACCGGCUUCACAGAUACAAGGCUGCUGAGUGCUCGCCUCCCCUUGUGAGUGUGCGCGCGUGUGCACACGUGUGGUGAGUGUGUGCAGCGGCUGUUUCCUUCUCUCCUGCCUGCUUCAGUUCAAGCCCCGAGUCCCAUGUGCUGGGUGCAGUCUUAAGGGAACACCCCGUUGGCACUAAGGGUUUGGCAGCUUGGAGUUGAAAGCCCUCAGAGACGACUGGAUCCUGCCCACCUCAUUGUUGGCCAGUUUGAGCCGAUGCCGGAGCAAGCAGGAGAAAAGGUCAAGCCGCACCUUGCCAGCCCAAGUUCUUGGAGGGAUCGGUCAUCUCCAGAGGCUCGUAGUAGAUCGUCUCAUUGGAGCUGUCGUCCAGGGACUUGAUUCGGCUCCGUAGGGUGAGCAGCAUGCGUUUCCUCCAGGAAGGGUCGAACCAGCUGCCCAGGCGCAUGUCAUUGCUGAUGAAGAUGGAGUGCACCUCGAUGCGGCUGUCCCACUUCUGCAGCAGAUACAACUCAUAACUGAGAAUGACACGCAAGUAUGUCAAGAUAAUAGGAGACUCUAACAGGCCGUGUGUGCGUCAGCAUUCCCAGCUCUGCUGUGUUGGACAGGGGUCCUCCCCGGCCUCAGUGGCUGUCAUGGGUGACGUGCUCUGGCUCGGGCAUCUGGGGUGCUCACCUCUCCUUGGGCAGGCGGAAGCGGGGCUGCCGGUGGCAACGUUUGCAGAGGUUGAAGAGCCGGCGGACGAUCCGAUGGGU